GAGGAUAUCCAUCAGUCAUGAAUUUCUCAAAUCAAUUCCGUGAUAAUAGUUUUUCUAGCCCUGCACUCCCUGUUGAUGCUGCUCAAAUGGACGUGAUAAGAAAUAGCUACCUUUCCACAACUUACUCUUUUCCAGGCAACUCUGGUAGGUCUCUAGGGACUAUGCAGCAAUCUAAUGGAAGUGUUUCAGUCACAUAAGUAUGAUUGGUGAGUUGCUAUUUUCUUUGCACGGGUGAAAAUCGACAUGACAUUUCCCAAUUUAUGAAUUAGAGGGUUCAUUGUUGUCAUUUUGGUAUUUCAUGUAUCUGUUUUAACUUUCAAACCACAUUCUUGUCACAUUGAAAUUGUGACAGGAUAAUGAAAUGUUCAUUCUAAUUCUUUUUCAUUGUAUAGUAAUUUAUUUUUGAUGGAAAGAAAGUCAUGUUUCUGUAUGUGCUAAACCUUGAGACUAAUUCCAAUGAUCAUUAUUAGUAAAAAUGGCAGGAAAAAUAUAUUGUAUUGAUACAGGUAACUAAGAUAAAGUUCAGGAGGAAGAAAAUUACUGGUAUCAACUCAAAGAAUCUGGUUGGAGCUUAUGUAAAGUCAGAUCUCAAGACAGAAAGGACAAUCGGUAGUGAGCAUGAAGCUAGAGAAUUGUACCAUUUAGAUGGUGGUGGUUCACAAUGUGUUUACGCAUGACACUUUCACCUCUACAAUGGCAUUGUCAGUUGGGCCAUCCAUCUCUUCCUGUCUCAAGAAGCUAGUUCCUAGUUUAGUGUCUAUUACUAAGUUACAACAUUAGUCAUGUCAGUUUGGCAAGCAUAGUUAAGUGCCAUUUGUUCCAACUUCCAAGAGAAAAUAAUAGAGUGUUGAGUCCUUUUGUUCUUGUCCAUUAUAAAGUUUGGGGUCUAAAUUGUGUUAAAUCAUACAAUAGGUUUAAAUAUUUUUUUGCAUUUAUUGAUGAUUAUUCAAGAGUGACUUAGAUUUACUCAAUGAAAGCUCAUUCAG